GACGAACGCUGGCGGCGUGCUUAAUACAUGCAAGUUGAGCGGAGCCAUUGAUGAAGCUUGCGAUUCAAUGGUCGAGCGGCGGACGGGUGAGUAACGCGUGGGCAACCUGCCCUUCAGUCUGGGAUAACAGUUCGAAAGGACUGCUAACACCGGAUAAUCUUACUGAGAGACAUCUUUUGGUAAGGAAAGUUUACGCUGAAGGAUGGGCCCGCGUCCCAUUAGCUUGUUGGUGAGGUAACGGCUCACCAAGGCAACGAUGGGUAGCCGACCUGAGAGGGUGACCGGCCACACUGGGACUGAGACACGGCCCAGACUCCUACGGGAGGCAGCAGUGAGGAAUAUUGGUCAAUGGGCGGAAGCCUGAACCAGCCAUGCCGCGUGCAGGAUGACGGCCCUACGGGUUGUAAACUGCUUUUCCCCGGGGCGAAUAACCCCUCGCGAGGGGAGUGCGGUACCGGGGAAGUAAGGAGUCGGCGUAACUCCGUGCCAGCAGCCGCGGUAACUCGUCUCUA
rnacentral:rRNA from 1 species